UACGGAGGGUGCAAGCGUUAUCCGGAUUUACUGGGCUUAAAGGGUGUGUAGGCGGGCCUUUAAGUCUGGGGUGAAAUCUCCGAGCUCAACUCGGAAACUGCCCUGGAUACUAUCGGCCUUGAAUUAUGUUGAGGUUGGCGGAAUAUAACAUGUAGCGGUGAAAUGCAUAGAUAUGUUAUAGAACACCGAUUGCGAAGGCAGCUGACUAAGCAUAUAUUGACGCUGAGGCACGAAAGCGUGGGGAUCAAACAGG
rnacentral:rRNA from 1 species